rfam:Hordeum vulgare subsp. vulgare, WGS project CAJW01000000 data, contig: morex_contig_69106
CUAAUACUCCCUCCAUCCGAAAAUACUUGUCAGAGAAAUGAACGAAAAUGGAUGUAUCUAGAACUAAAAUACAUCUAGACACAUCCAUUUCUCUGAUAAGUAUUUCCAUACGGAGGGAGUAUAAG